AUUGAACGCUGGCGGCAUGCUUUACACAUGCCAGUCGAAUGGCAGCGCGGGCUUCGGCCUGGCGGCGAGUGGCGAACGGGUGAGUAAUGCAUCGGAACGUGCCCAGUCGUGGGGGAUAGCCCGGCGAAAGCCGGAUUAAUACCGCAUACGACCUGAGGGUGAAAGCGGGGGACCGAAAGGCCUCGCGCUAUUGGAGCGGCCGAUGUCGGAUUAGCUAGUUGGUGGGGUAAAGGCUUACCAAGGCGACGAUCCGUAGCUGGUCUGAGAGGACGACCAGCCACACUGGGACUGAGACACGGCCCAGACUCCUACGGGAGGCAGCAGUGGGGAAUUUUGGACAAUGGGGGCAACCCUGAUCCAGCCAUGCCGCGUGCGGGAAGAAGGCCUUCGGGUUGUAAACCGCUUUUGUUCGGGAAGAAAUCCUCUGGGCUAAUACCCCGGGGGGAUGACGGUACCGGAAGAAUAAGCACCGGCUAACUACGUG
rnacentral:rRNA from 1 species